rnacentral:rRNA from 1 species
AGAUCUUUAAAAUUAAAGAAUUUGGCGGUAUUUUAGUCUUUUCAGAGGAACCUGUUCUGUAAUUGAUAAUCCACGAUUUAUAAUACCUAUGUUUUAAAUUUAUAUAUCGUUGUAAUUUAAAUAUUUUUUAAGAAUUUUAAUAUUUAAGAUUUUUAUUAAAAAAUAAAUCAAAUCAAGAUGUAGUUUAUAUAUAGGAAGAAAUGGGUUACAAUAAGUUAACUUUUGAAUUAGUAAUUGAAAAUUAUUAUGAAAUUGGAUUUGAAAGUAAUUUUAAAAAAAUAUUUAAAAUGAUUUAGCUCUAAAAUAUG